CUUUGGGACAGGAGAGAGCAUGGAGGACACAAUGUGGUUAGAGCUCCCCACCCCCACCCCUCCCGGUUUAGGUGGCAGAUCCACUGGGAUGCACCACCUGGAGGAUUUAUAAUUUAAAUAGCUUACAAAAUUAGGAUGCUAGUUUCUGCACCGAGCGAUUGUGCCCAUUGAUUCUAAACUAAGAUUGUGUGGUGUUUUUCUUCACGAGGCGACUCAGCUGGGUUUCAGAGAAAGCAGAUUAAGGAGAACUACAACCCAUUGCUGAAGAGUGGGCAGAAGACUUUAAGAGCCAGAACAGAGGAUCUGGCUGUGAGAUUGUGUCUCCUAGAAAUGUCAGAAGCUGUGGCCAUAAGGGCUUCCUAACGCAGCUGCCAACACAUGGCCUGAACAAGGUCGACGCCAGUAGGCACGCUCAUGUGGGCAGAAGAGGGGCUUGUGAAGCUUCAAAGCUACAAUUACAGGGGGCCAAGGAGUGUUGAGAGUAGGGGGAAGUCUCCUCCAAGGAGGAAGCUUCCUACCAUAGAGAGCUUGUCUCAAGAUAAAUAAAUACACUAUUGUUUGUAGUCAGGGUCUCACUAUGUAGACCAGGCUGCCUGCCUCUGAUUCCUGAGAUUAAAGGCAUGCUUC
rnacentral:lncRNA from 1 species